CCCCGGUAAACGGCGGCCGUAACUAUAACGGUCCUAAGGUAGCGAAAUUCCUUGUCGGGUAAGUUCCGACCUGCACGAAUGGCGUAAUGAUGGCCAGGCUGUCUCCACCCGAGACUCAGUGAAAUUGAACUCGCUGUGAAGAUGCAGUGUACCCGCGGCAAGACGGAAAGACCCCGUGAACCUUUACUAUAGCUUGACACUGAACAUUGAGCCUUGAUGUGUAGGAUAGGUGGGAGGCUUUGAAGUGUGGACGCCAGUCUGCAUGGAGCCGACCUUGAAAUACCACCCUUUAAUGUUUGAUGUUCUAACGUGGACCCGUAAUCCGGGUUGCGGACAGUGUCUGGUGGGUAGUUUGACUGGGGCGGUCUCCUCCUAAAGAGUAACGGAGGAGCACGAAGGUUGGCUAAUCCUGGUCGGACAUCAGGAGGUUAGUGCAAUGGCAUAAGCCAGCUUGACUGCGAGCGUGACGGCGCGAGCAGGUGCGAAAGCAGGUCAUAGUGAUCCGGUGGUUCUGAAUGGAAGGGCCAUCGCUCAACGGAUAAAAGGUACUCCGGGGAUAACAGGCUGAUACCGCCCAAGAGUUCAUAUCGACGGCGGUGUUUGGCACCUCGAUGUCGGCUCAUCACAUCCUGGGGCUGAAGUAGGUCCCAAGGGUAUGGCUGUUCGCCAUUUAAAGUGGUACGCGAGCUGGGUUUAGAACGUCGUGAGACAGUUCGGUCCCUAUCUGCCGUGGGCGCUGGAGAACUGAGGGGGGCUGCUCCUAGUACGAGAGGACCGGAGUGGACGCAUCACUGGUGUUCGGGUUGUCAUGCCAAUGGCACUGCCCGGUAGCUAAAUGCGGAAGAGAUAAGUGCUGAAAGCAUCUAAGCACGAAACUUGCCCCGAGAUGAGUUCUCCCUGAGACUUAGAGUCUCCUGAAGGAAC
rnacentral:rRNA from 5 species